UUACUGAGUUUACGCUCUAUAACCCUUUGUGAACAUACCUAUAACUGUUGCUUCGGCGGGCAGGGUCUCCGUGACCCUCCCGGCCUCCCGCCCCCGGGCGGGUCGGCGCCCGCCGGAGGAUAACCAAACUCUGAUUUAACGACGUUUCUUCUGAGUGGUACAAGCAAAUAAUCAAAACUUUUAACAACGGAUCUCUUGGUUCUGGCAUCGAUGAAGAACGCAGCGAAAUGCGAUAAGUAAUGUGAAUUGCAGAAUUCAGUGAAUCAUCGAAUCUUUGAACGCACAUUGCGCCCGCCAGCAUUCUGGCGGGCAUGCCUGUUCGAGCGUCAUUUCAACCCUCAAGCUCUGCUUGGUGUUGGGGCCCUACAGCUGAUGUAGGCCCUCAAAGGUAGUGGCGGACCCUCCCGGAGCCUCCUUUGCGUAGUAACUUUACGUCUCGCACUGGGAUCCGGAGGGACUCUUGCCGUAAAACCCCCCAAUUUUCCAAAGGUUGACCUCGGAUCAGGUAGGAAUACCCGCUGAACUUAAGCAUAUCAAUAAGCGGAGGAAAAGAAACCAACAGGGAUUGCCUCAGUAACGGCGAGUGAAGCGGCAACAGCUCAAAUUUGAAAUC
rnacentral:rRNA from 1 species